AAAAUCCCUCGAUUUUUUGAAUCGUGGGGGGUCAAGUCCCCCUUUCCCCA
rnacentral:tRNA from 1 species